AGCUGCGGCAGCGACGCUUAUGCGUUGUUGGGUAGGGGAGCGUUCUGUAAGCCUGCGAAGGUGGCCUGUGAGGGUUGCUGGAGGUAUCAGAAGUGCGAAUGCUGACAUAAGUAACGAUAAAGCGGGUGAAAAGCCCGCUCGCCGGAAGACCAAGGGUUCCUGUCCAACGUUAAUCGGGGCAGGGUGAGUCGACCCCUAAGGCGAGGCCGAAAGGCGUAGUCGAUGGGAAACGGGUUAAUAUUCCCGUACUUGGUGUUACUGCGAAGGGGGGACGGAGAAGGCUAUGUUGGCCGGGCGACGGUUGUCCCGGUUUAAGCGUGUAGGUGUGUGUUCCAGGUAAAUCCGGUUCACUUUAACACUGAGGCGUGACGACGAGGCACUACGGUGCUGAAGCAACAAAUGCCCUGCUUCCAGGAAAAGCCUCUAAGCAUCAGGUAACAUCAAAUCGUACCCCAAACCGACACAGGUGGUCAGGUAGAGAAUACCAAGGCGCUUGAGAGAACUCGGGUGAAGGAACUAGGCAAAAUGGUGCCGUAACUUCGGGAGAAGGCACGCUGACACGUAGGUGAAGUGAUUUACUCAUGGAGCUGAAGUCAGUCGAAGAUACCAGCUGGCUGCAACUGUUUAUUAAAAACACAGCACUGUGCAAACACGAAAGUGGACGUAUACGGUGUGACGCCUGCCCGGUGCCGGAAGGUUAAUUGAUGGGGUCAGCGCAAGCGAAGCUCCUGAUCGAAGCCCCGGUAAACGGCGGCCGUAACUAUAACGGUCCUAAGGUAGCGAAAUUCCUUGUCGGGUAAGUUCCGACCUGCACGAAUGGCGUAAUGAUGGCCAGGCUGUCUCCACCCGAGACUCAGUGAAAUUGAACUCGCUGUGAAGAUGCAGUGUACCCGCGGCAAGACGGAAAGACCCCGUGAACCUUUACUAUAGCUUGACACUGAACAUUGAGCCUUGAUGUGUAGGAUAGGUGGGAGGCUUUGAAGUGUGGACGCCAGUCUGCAUGGAGCCGACCUUGAAAUACCACCCUUUAAUGUUUGAUGUUCUAACGUGGACCCGUUACCCGGGUUGCGGACAGUGUCUGGUGGGUAGUUUGACUGGGGCGGUCUCCUCCUAAAGAGUAACGGAGGAGCACGAAGGUUGGCUAAUCCUGGUCGGACAUCAGGAGGUUAGUGCAAUGGCAUAAGCCAGCUUGACUGCGAGCGUGACGGCGCGAGCAGGUGCGAAAGCAGGUCAUAGUGAUCCGGUGGUUCUGAAUGGAAGGGCCAUCGCUCAACGGAUAAAAGGUACUCCGGGGAUAACAGGCUGAUACCGCCCAAGAGUUCAUAUCGACGGCGGUGUUUGGCACCUCGAUGUCGGCUCAUCACAUCCUGGGGCUGAAGUAGGUCCCAAGGGUAUGGCUGUUCGCCAUUUAAAGUGGUACGCGAGCUGGGUUUAGAACGUCGUGAGACAGUUCGGUCCCUAUCUGCCGUGGGCGCUGGAGAACUGAGGGGGGCUGCUCCUAGUACGAGAGGACCGGAGUGGACGCAUCACUGGUGUUCGGGUUGUCAUGCCAAUGGCACUGCCCGGUAGCUAAAUGCGGAAGAGAUAAGUGCUGAAAGCAUCUAAGCACGAAACUUGCCCCGAG
rnacentral:rRNA from 1 species